CUUUUUUUUAAUCAUUGUAUGUGUAACCAGCCUCCACAAUCCCUUCAAGAAACAAGUGUUUUAGUCGUUGAACAAAAAAGGUGAGAUAAACCUAAAGACUGCACCGAAGGAGUGUGAGGAUUUGAUACAUGAUAUCGUCGGUGGAGCAAGUUCAGGAAGAUCCUAAUGUCAUUGAUAACUGAAGAAGAACAGAAUUCGGCUGGCCGCCUUGUUCAUGCCUUGAGCGCAAGAAGCGUGAAGAAGGAAAAAACGAGUUGCUCCAAACCGGCCCGAGCCCGGGGAGCGCUCCGCUCCAGUCGAUGAGACGAGGUGGAAACUCAAUUCAGUUUUGGUUCCCCCAGUCCAGAUCCCAUCGGAGUGGGAAGACCUGGAAAUCCAGUUGCAAGCCAAGGAAACGGUAAUCUCUGAUCUGGAGAGGAAGCCCAGAGACGUUUUCCAACAGAAACAAAAGACUGUAACCCAGGUGCUGGAGGGCAGUAGGAGGCUCUCGUGUCUGCAGCGGAUCCAGAAAGGCGACAUGAAGGAGAUCGCUGAGAAAGACACUUGCAUCACCAAACUGCAGGCCGACACUGAGCUGCUGCAGCAAGAGGGGGGCCGACGCAGACGCUCAGCUGAAUGGGAGAGAGCGAGGGAGCUUCAGCAGGAGCCGAGGCGAAAAAGAUGAGGAAUGGAGGCAAAGCGAAGACGAAAGGAGGCAGAAAUGUGAAAAGCAGUGUCAGGAGGCAGACGAGGCGGCUGAGAAAAGUGGAGGAGGUGAAGAAGAGGGAGGAACAACAACGGCGGGAGGGGAUUGAGGAGGAGAGAGAGGCCCAUACUCGAAUCUAUAAAAAGGGGACUGAGAAGUCUGAGGUUAUACAAGCGGAUUGGCCGUUGCUCUGCACCCAACAAAUGCCACAAACGGCUCGUCUUCUACUCUGCAGGAACCGUCUAGAGAUUGCUCCGUUGCUAACAGGUCCAAUCUCCUCACAGCCCAGCAGCGCGUUGGGUGAUUUGCCGGUCAGAGUCUCACCAGAAGGAGGAGAUUCUUCUCUCUGAGGUUUGGAAAACACAAGCAAAAGAAGAAAAAGAAAAAGAUGAAAGCGCGAGAUGAGCAUGGGAGCCACCUGGACCAGGAUGUGGUUGGUUUGCGAGCCACACGGGACUCUGUGACGGGAACCUUGGCAAUGACGGAGAAACAAAAGCAACAGCUGGUCAUUGACAAUGCACGGCUCAAUGAAAGCAGAGCAAACUGCAAACCACCGAGUGCUUGUGGAACGACACCCGUGAAACAACACCGGCCCCGGACACGGAAAGAGCAGCAGAGAGUGCAGAUCCAAGACCAGUUGCACCGCUCCAACAAAGAGAAGGAGCACGUGCAGCAGGAGCUGAUACACGUGCGUCACACACCACUGAAAAGAAGAAGAGGGAGAUUAGGACGUGCGCGCUGGUGAGGGAGCUCACCGAGAGUAAGAUGCGGCACUCUGAAUGUCAAAAUGAGCGUUUGGAUCUUAGGCCUUGGGGGGACCUGAGCGGGGAGAGGGACGAGCAGGGGGCCCAGACGGGGGGCCGGAGCAGAGAGUCUGACCACGGCAUCCAGAACGAAGAGACACCGGAGGCUGAGAAGGUCCAUGACAACAGGACCUUACACCUGCAGGAGGAGGUGGGACCAUUGAAACACGAGGUCGGAGGUCACCAGGAUGAGUCGUGUCCGCUCAGCCAAGAGGCCGGAGGGAUGCAGCGCCUCAUGGAGCAGAAAGAGAAGCAGCAACAGCGGCGGCUACGCCAUCAGCUCCGCGUUGGUCGGCAACAGGUCGAGACAUUUGGAGGGAAGCUAAAGAAGCAGGAGGUUGAGAUGGAAAUUCUCCGUGAGCAGCUGAAAGGAGCCGAGGAGGUGAUAAGAGACGCAGGUUUACGAGCCCGGGAGCAGAAGGAAACCAUAGCCAUUUUUAGACAAAAGUACAACGCAGCCAUGGAGAAGGUGCAUCGGGUGCAAGGACAGGUGGAGCUAUUGAAAGAGGAACUACAGUACUCACAGCAACAGCUUCGAGAUUCCCAAUUGGCCGCGCAUUCAGCGAAAGAGGAGCUCGCUGGGAUGGAGCAGCGGUAUCUGGAGAAGGUCGGCCACUGGGAGAACGCCCAGGAGGCUUUAGACCAGUUGGCGGAUGAACUCCUGGCGAGCCGGACCCUCCUGAGGGAGAGUCAACAAAGAGCUGACCACCUUAAAGGCUUAGUGGAAACCAUGCGGGAGCAGGUGGACACGAUCAAACAGCAGAAGCUGAUGUUGGAGUGCGACCGACAGCUGCACCAACAGAGUCGUUGUGAUGAGCAGUGGCACAGAGAGCAGCUACACAAGCGCUGCACCGAGCAGGUUGUGCGCCUUGCCGAGUGUGAAAAGGCGAUUCUUCAGAUGAAGUCGGAGCUGGAGAGACAGGUCCGGCGAGAAGCAGAUCGGAGGCAAAGUUCCGUUGCUUCCCGCCGUGCAAACAUGAGCGAUCGCAUCCAACUGGAACAGGAAGUGAUACAUCUGAAAAAGGAAGUGGCAGCCGUAAGGCGUGAGCCGGCGGACACCCAAAAGGUUCAUAUGGCACUUGGCCGACAGUCAGAGGAGCAGCUGAAGGAGGUCAGGAGAGCGGCGGCGAGGCGGAGCGGCGAUGGGUUCGCGCACAGAGAGGAGGUGCAGAGACUUCAGGAGGACUUACUGAAGGCGGAGGAGAGAAUGAGGAGGCAGUUGAGUCGAGAGCUGGAGGAGCCGCGCAGCGAGCCGCAAGUGACAGCGGAGGAGUUGGCAACCCGUGCAGAGGAGGCGAGGCGGAUGCAGGGGCGGCUGAAUGAGGGAAAGCUAGCGGAGGAGAAAAUAAGGUCACGGGACGGGGGGCCGGAGACAGAAGUGGCGGCGCUCCGGAGGAAUCUUCAGCAUGCUGUCGAUCACAAACUCCAGGCGGAGCGGGAGAAACGGGAAGCCCGGGAACAGGUGGACACACUGCUGGCGGAGCUGGAGGAGACGCGGUCUGAGAAGGCAAACCUGCGCCAUGAGAGCCAGUUGGUCGUGACUAAUGUCAACUGUUGGAUUGCUAAACAAAAAGCUUCCAACGAGAGCCUCAGUGGCCGGACGGAGGCCCAGAACAAGGUGCUGCUCAUCCUCACUGAAGAGAAAGCGCACCUUCAAGGUUCUAAUGACGCGUUGAAAGCGGAGGUAACGCGACUAAAAGAGGUGGGGGACGAGAAGACGAGAGACACGGAGCGCUUCCAGGCCUGGACCCGGGCGUCCCGCAAGACAGGAGAGCCAUGGAAAAGCAGAGCUGUGCGGCUGUGGCUCUAAACCUCAGCAAAAUCCAGGACAUGCAGACUAGACUUCGAAGCAACCUGGAGGCCAUCAGAAUGCUAAAUCAACAAUUGAACUCUCUCAGCGGGGAGAAUAAGCGGUUGCGCAGGCAGCUGGAGGACGAGCGGUCCGUGCGCAGACUGCUGCCUCCUCUUCCUCCUCCUCCACCUUCCAGCAGAGCUCCAUCGUCCACCUCCCCCUGUCCCCCGGUGCUCACCCGGCUCUCCUCUCUGCGCCCGCCUUGUUCUCGUCCCACCGCCCCCCCCCCC
ensembl:lncRNA